UCUUUCCCGCUUUGUCAAAGAUUAGUUGGCCAUACUUUUGCGGGUCCAUUUCAGGGUUCUCUAUUGAGUUCCAUUGAUCUGAAUGUCUGUUUCUUGCCAGUACCAUACUGUCUUUAUGAUUACAGCUUUGUAAUACAUCUUGACAUCCGGGGUU